rnacentral:tRNA from 1 species
AGGACCGUAGUUAAUUAUAACAUUUGAUUUGCAUUCAAAAAGUAUUGAUCAUGUCAAUCUGUCUUA